UCGUAACAAGGUUUCCGUAGGUGAACCUGCGGAAGGAUCAUUAGUGAAUUAAACAUGCUUGGUGUCUUCGCUUCGGCAAGGCCCUUGCGUAACUCACAUCCCAACACCUGUGAACUGUAAGGCGUACGAUGAGGCUUCGGCUCAAUCGUCGUCUGCCCUUUUUAACAAACGAUCAAUGUAACAAACGUAGUCUUAUUAUAACCUAAUAAAACUUUCAACAACGGAUCUCUUGGCUCUCGCAUCGAUGAAGAACGCAGCGAAAUGCGAUAAGUAAUGUGAAUUGCAGAUUUCAGUGAAUCAUCGAAUCUUUGAACGCACCUUGCGCUCUUUGGUAUUCCGAAGAGCAUGCCUGUUUGAGUGUCAUGAAAAUAUCAACCUUGACUUGGGUUUUGUGCUCGAGGCUAGGCUUGGAUGUGGGUGCUUGCCGCUUUAAUGCGUGGCUCACCUUAAAUGUAUUAGCUGGAUCAGUCUUUGAGACUUGGUUUGACUUGGCGUAAUAAGUAUUUCGCUAAGGACAUUCUUCGGAGUGGCCUCGUUUCUGGGACACCUGUCCGCUUUCCAAUACAAGUUCCAGAAAUGGACAUGACUUUUUAUCAUCUGGCCUCAAAUCAGGUAGGACUACCCGCUGAACUUA
rnacentral:rRNA from 1 species